UACGUAGGUGGCAAGCGUUGUCCGGAAUUAUUGGGCGUAAAGCGCGCGCAGGCGGUCUUUUAAGUCUGAUGUGAAAGCCCACGGCUCAACCGUGGAGGGUCAUUGGAAACUGGGGGACUUGAGUGCAGAAGAGGAAAGUGGAAUUCCAAGUGUAGCGGUGAAAUGCGUAGAGAUUUGGAGGAACACCAGUGGCGAAGGCGACUUUCUGGUCUGUAACUGACGGCUGAGGCGCGAAAGCGUGGGGAGCAACAGGAGUUAAGAAACCCGGUAAGCCCC
rnacentral:rRNA from 1 species